GUACAUAACUUAUUUUAAAUAAAAUAAAAUUUUAUAAAAUAUAAGGGUCUCUGAAAUGAGACUAACCCAAUCCCUUACCUAUAGUCUGGUCGGAAAAUGUGUCGAAAUCCUUAUUGAUUUAGUUCUACGCUCUUUUCUAAAUCUUAGCUACUGCUUGAUUAGUUUUCUCGUUUACAAUAGAAAAUACAUGCGUCAAACGAUGAACACUUUUUGAAAAUAGAUAUAGUACAGAAGCAGAUAGAUUUUUUUUACCUUUGACAUGCAAUUUUGGUCGCUGGAGUCACCACACGCAACCACAUGCGCAUCACUGGAAUUGUCAUACGCCACCACGUGUUUUGCACGUGCCUCUACACGUCACCACGUGCUAAACAUGCACCACUUGCUAGACCACCACGCGCCACGUCAACAUUUUCGUUCGCAGCAAACUAACUAGAAGUCUCUGUAAACCGCUCGUGCGCAUAGAUCUGACACGAAUUUGGUGAAACCAUGCCGAAAACGCUACGGAUCGGCAAAGUCGUGCUAUUGGCUACUGCGCUAUGAUCUUUUUCUCCAACUCUCACCACCGCACGCAGCUCCCUCCCUCUCUCCCUUUUUCCUCUCUGCACAGAUAUCUCUCCUCACACGGAUCUCACUCCUUGACCAGAUUCUGCCCGACACCAUGCCCAGAAUAUAUAUUGCAGAAGCUUUAACUUACAUAUAAGAUUGGCUUCAGGCUAAACCUAAAGUAUAUAUAAACAAAGAUCAAUAUGUCCAAUAUCUUGAUGAACUCAAUCAAGGAUUAUAUUUAUAAUUGGGCUGCAGGACCUGAAGGUUGUAGUAUGGCUAAGAGUUUCUGAUAUUGAUCUCUCGUGAGUGAAAGAGGCAAUUCCUCUAAAAUAUUGUACUGAGAAUUAAGCUUCACCCAAGUUUCUGUUACAUCUGAAUCUGACUCUGUAGCCUGAAUAUUUGUUUAAUAAAUACUGGAGACAUUCCUCUGCCUAGGCAUAUAACCUGGAGGAUAGCCAUGCUUUGUGUAACAUUUGUCAAUAUUAUGGCCAACAAACCCGCAAUGUGUACAUGUUGGUCUUUAUUAUUUUCUCCAGAAUUGUUUCUAUUAUGUUCAGGAGUAUAUACAUUUGUAGUUUUCUGCUGUG